rnacentral:rRNA from 1 species
UACAUGGGGUGCAACCGUUGCUCGGAAUCAUUGGGCGUAAAGCGCGCGUAGGCGGUUACACAAGUUGGAUGUGAAAGCCCUCGGCUUAACUGAGGAAGUGCAUCCAAAACUGUGCAGCUAGAGUACUAAAGAGGGUCGCGGAAUUCCCGGUGUAGAGGUGAAAUUCGUAGAUAUCGGGAGGAACACCGGUGGCGAAGGCGGCGACCUGGGUAGAUACUGACGCUGAGGCGCGAAAGCGUGGGGAGCAAACAGG